rnacentral:rRNA from 1 species
UACGUAGGGGGCGAGCGUUGUCCGGCCUUACUGGGCGUAAAGAGCACGUAGGCGGCUAUAAAAGUCAGAUGUGAAAAACCUGGGCUCAACCGAGGGUAUGCAUCUGAAACUAAAUAGCUUGAGUCAAGGAGAGGAGAGCGGAAUUCCUGGUGUAGCGGUGAAAUUCGUAGAGAUCAGGAGGAAUACCAGUGGCGAAGGCGGCUCUCUGGACAGAUACUGACGCUGAGGCGCGAAAGCGUGGGAAGCAAACAGG